rnacentral:rRNA from 1 species
AUUGAACAUAAGAGUUUGAUCCUGGCUCAGAUUGAACGCUGGCGGCAUGCUUUACACAUGCAAGUCGGACGGCAGCACAGGGAAGCUUGCUUCUCGGGUGGCGAGUGGCGAACGGGUGAGUAACAUAUCGGAACGUACCGGGUAGCGGGGGAUAACUGAUCGAAAGAUCAGCUAAUACCGCAUACGUCUUGAGAGGGAAAGCAGGGGACCUUCGGGCCUUGCGCUAUCCGAGCGGCCGAUAUCUGAUUAGCUGGUUGGCGGGGUAAAGGCCCACCAAGGCGACGAUCAGUAGCGGGUCUGAGAGGAUGAUCCGCCACACUGGGACUGAGACACGGCCCAGACUCCUACGGGAGGCAGCAGUGGGGAAUUUUGGACAAUGGGCGCAAGCCUGAUCCAGCCAUGCCGCGUGUCUGAAGAAGGCCUUCGGGUUGUAAAGGACUUUUGUCAGGGAAGAAAAGGCCGUUGCCAAUAUCGGCGGCCGAUGACGGUACCUGAAGAAUAAGCACCGGCUAACUACGUGCCAGCAGCCGCGGUAAUACGUAGGGCGCGAGCGUUAAUCGGAAUUACUGGGCGUAAAGCGGGCGCAGACGGUUACUUAAGCAGGAUGUGAAAUCCCCGGGCUCAACCCGGGAACUGCGUUCUGAACUGGGUGACUCGAGUGUGUCAGAGGGAGGUGGAAUUCCACGUGUAGCAGUGAAAUGCGUAGAGAUGUGGAGGAAUACCGAUGGCGAAGGCAGCCUCCUGGGAUAACACUGACGUUCAUGUCCGAAAGCGUGGGUAGCAAACAGGAUUAGAUACCCUGGUAGUCCACGCCCUAAACGAUGUCAAUUAGCUGUUGGGCAACUUGAUUGCUUGGUAGCGUAGCUAACGCGUGAAAUUGACCGCCUGGGGAGUACGGUCGCAAGAUUAAAACUCAAAGGAAUUGACGGGGACCCGCACAAGCGGUGGAUGAUGUGGAUUAAUUCGAUGCAACGCGAAGAACCUUACCUGGUUUUGACAUGUGCGGAAUCCUCCGGAGACGGAGGAGUGCCUUCGGGAGCCGUAACACAGGUGCUGCAUGGCUGUCGUCAGCUCGUGUCGUGAGAUGUUGGGUUAAGUCCCGCAACGAGCGCAACCCUUGUCAUUAGUUGCCAUCAUUCGGUUGGGCACUCUAAUGAGACUGCCGGCGACAAGCCGGAGGAAGGUGGGGAUGACGUCAAGUCCUCAUGGCCCUUAUGACCAGGGCUUCACACGUCAUACAAUGGUCGGUACAGAGGGUAGCCAAGCCGCGAGGCGGAGCCAAUCUCACAAAACCGAUCGUAGUCCGGAUUGCACUCUGCAACUCGAGUGCAUGAAGUCGGAAUCGCUAGUAAUCGCAGGUCAGCAUACUGCGGUGAAUACGUUCCCGGGUCUUGUACACACCGCCCGUCACACCAUGGGAGUGGGGGAUACCAGAAGUAGGUAGGGUAACCGCAAGGAGUCCGCUUACCACGGUAUGCUUCAUGACUGGGGUGAAGUCGUAACAAGGUAGCCGUAGGGGAACCUGCGGCUGGAUCACCUCCUUUCUAG